rnacentral:rRNA from 1 species
GCCAUCAUUUAAAGAAAGCGUAAUAGCUCACUGGUCGAGUCGGCCUGCGCGGAAGAUGUAACGGGGCUAAACCAUGCACCGAAGCUGCGGCAGCGACACUCAGGUGUUGUUGGGUAGGGGAGCGUUCUGUAAGCCUGCGAAGGUGUGCUGUGAGGCAUGCUGGAGGUAUCAGAAGUGCGAAUGCUGACAUAAGUAACGAUAAAGCGGGUGAAAAACCCGCUCGCCGGAAGACCAAGGGUUCCUGUCCAACGUUAAUCGGGGCAGGGUGAGUCGACCCCUAAGGCGAGGCCGAAAGGCGUAGUCGAUGGGAAACGGGUUAAUAUUCCCGUACUCGGUGUUACUGCGAAGGGGGGACGGAGAAGGCUAGGCUGGCCGGGCGACGGUUGUCCCGGUUUAAGCGUGUAGGUGGGAAGAAUUGGUAAAUCCGUUCUUCUGUUAACACUGAGGCGUGAUAACGAGGCACUACGGUGCUGAAGUAGCUGAUGCCCCGCUUCCAGGAAAAGCCUCUAAGCUCCAGGUAACAUUGAAUCGUACCCCAAACCGACACAGGUGGUCAGGUAGAGAAUACUCAGGCGCUUGAGAGAACUCGGGUGAAGGAACUAGGCAAAAUGGUGCCGUAACUUCGGGAGAAGGCACGCUGGCGUUAGGUGAAAAGACACGCUCUUGGAGCCGAGGCCAGUCGCAGAUACCAGCUGGCUGCAACUGUUUAAUAAAAACACAGCACUGUGCAAACACGAAAGUGGACGUAUACGGUGUGACGCCUGCCCGGUGCUGGAAGGUUAAUUGAUGGGGUUAUCCGUAAGGAGAAGCUCUUGAUCGAAGCCCCAGUAAACGGCGGC